rnacentral:rRNA from 1 species
UAAAGCGCAUGCAGGUGGUUUGUUAAGUCAGAUGUGAAAGGACCCGGGGCGUACAACCUACGGUAAGUUGCUAUUUAGUAAACGUAGGCGAGACUAGAGUACUGUAGAGGGGGGUAGGAAUUUCAGGUGUAGCGGUGAAAUGCGUAGAGAUCUGAAGGAAUACCGGUGGCGAAGGCGGCCCCCUGGACAGAUACUGACACUCAGAUGCGAAAGCGUGGGGAGCAAACAGGAUUAGAUACCCUGGUAG